GUGGGGAAUAUUGGGCAAUGGGGGAAACCCUGACCCAGCGACGCCGCGUGAGGGAAGACGGCCUUCGGGUUGUAAACCUCUUUUGUACGGGAAGAAGGAAGUGACGGUACUGUACGAAUAAGUCCCGGCUAACUACGUGCCAGCAGCCGCGGUAAUACGUAGGGGACGAGCGUUGUCCGGAAUUACUGGGCGUAAAGGGCGCGCAGGCUGUGCUGCAAGUCAGCUGUGAAAUGUCUGGGCUUAACACGGGCAUGCGGUUGAGACUGCAGUGCUGUAGUGGUGUAGAUGCAAGUGGAAUUCCCAGUGUAGCGGUGAAAUGCGUAGAUAUUGGGAAGAACACCGGUGGCGAAGGCGACUUGCUGGGCAGCAACUGACGCUGAGGCGCGAAAGCCAGGGGAGCAAACGGGAUUAGAUACCCCAGUAGUCC
rnacentral:rRNA from 1 species